rnacentral:rRNA from 1 species
UACGGGGGGGGCAAGCGUUGUUCGGAAUUACUGGGCGUAAAGGGCUCGUAGGUGGCCAACUAAGUCAGACGUGAAAUCCCUCGGCUUAACCGGGGAACUGCGUCUGAUACUGGAUGGCUUGAGUUUGGGAGAGGGAUGCGGAAUUCCAGGUGUAGCGGUGAAAUGCGUAGAUAUCGAGAGGAACACCUGCGGCGAAGGCGGGUUGCUGGGCUGACACUGACGCUGAUGCGCGAAAGCUAGGGGAGCGAACGGG